CCCCUAGAUGUUCUGGGCCGCACGCGCGCUACACUGAACAGUUCAACAAGUCUUAACCUUGGCCGAUAGGUCUGGGUAAUCUUUGAACGCUGUUCGUGAUUGGGAUAGACCUUUGCAAUUAUGGGUCUUCAACGAGGAAUUCCUAGUAAACGCAAGUCAUCAGCUUGCAUUGAUUACGUCCCUGCCCUUUGUACACACCGCCCGUCGCACCUACCGAUUGAGCGGUCCGGCGAGCGACAGAGACUGUGCUGUUUGCGGCAACGUGGAUAGUGCGGGAACUUUUGCAAGCCUUAUCGCUUAGAGGAAGGAGAAGUCGUAACA
rnacentral:rRNA from 1 species